GAUAUGAUAGAUGAGAAAUAAACAAUAUGGGUGAAAAAUCGCAUGACCCCUCUCACGCUGCUCCGGCCUGCCAUCACAAGUCCACCACCCUAUCCCAAGAUCCAAGGUCAGCGAGAGGCCUCCGCCAGCAGCCGCAGCGCGGACUCCGCGGCCGUCGUGGGCGCGGCCGCCACGGCCAGCGCCAGCGCGGGGAUGGCACGGGCGCGCGCUCUCGGUGCACACGGCUGCGGCGCAUAAGGAGCCACCAAUCUGCUAGUGAGGGGUAGCGCCCGCGAGGGGCUCAAGGCCGGCGGCGGGGAGAAGGCAGACCCCGAGGGGCGGCACGUCCGGGUCGGCCGCGGCCGUGGCCGCCACCGCCGCUGGCGGCGCCAGGGGGAGCAGAGCUGUCGUAUUCGUGGGCAAGGGCGCCAGAGGUGGAAGAUGAAUCUGACGAGUGGAGCCCAACUGACAGCGAGAGAAGCUGCGGGACCCAGAUGUCGGAGAGGGAGAAGAGAGGAAGAGAGGAGGGACAUUGAGGACAUUUCGCAUGAGCUUGCUGACUCAGUGCCACUGUGUCAAGCCAUUGUGGCGUGCCACGUUAGCUAAAGUGGUAAAAAUGUAAGAGUUGCAGCUACAGAAAUGUUAAAUUUGUAUGAGUCAUUAUAAAAGUGCUAAACGAGUGUGUGGUCUCCGUAAUAAUGGUAAAUAUGUAAAAAACCCGAGUGGAAGGGAAAGCGACACCACAGGAGGGAGCUUCUCGAGCCGUGAGCCGGUGACGCUGACGAGCGCAGCAGUGAGCCAGCUCCAGUGCUCGGCUCCGUUCGGCUCGUUAGAGAUAGCGGCUCGGCUCGGCUGCGAGCUCACAGUGGUUCGGCUCGAGAGCUGGCUAGCUUCAAGCCGUCCGAUUCACAAGCACUGGUCCCCACGUCGGCUACGGCUUCGUUCUUCAGAAUCCAGAAACCGGCGGCGGCGGCGGAGGAGGAGGAGAGCGUCGACGGGGAAAUUGAGGCGGCGGAGGAGUGGAAGCGAGCGACUGAGGUAAUGUCCCUCCGCUCCCUCGGUUCCCUCCUCACCCGGAGGUUCUCGCCCCGCGCGCAGGCGCAGGCGAGGUUCUCGGCCUCGCCGGGAUCAUCAGCUGGGCCCAUCGCCAUCGGAGAGGCCAGCGCUAUCUCUCCGCACCCUUGCCCAUCUCCGUUGGUGCCGCGGGUGCGUUGGCUGGAUUGGUUGGAGUUCUGUACUUCAGGAAAGAUGCAGAUUAGUGGGCCAGUCGGCUGGCAAGGAGGCCAAGAAAGAGGUGCCUGAAAGGGAGGUCGUUAAGGAGGUGCUGGGUGGGUGCCUCUUUAAAAGAGGUGUCCGUUAAGGAGGUGAUGAGUGACAGGGAAGCUGCGAGGCAGGAAGAUGAAGGCCAGGUUUCAGGACUGGAUGGUGGAGCACGGUCGGUCAUACUACAGGACAUUGCCGCCUCGCCGCUUCCGCCCGCCAUUUCGCAGCUCGGUGUUCCGGUGUGGUGGGAGAGGGAGAUUCUCGAGCGACACCAUAGGAGGAGAAGACGGAGCUUCUCGAGCCGUGAGCCCGAGCGCCGCCGCAGCAAGCCAGCUCCAGUGCUUGGCUCGGUCCGGCUCGUUGGAGAUAGCGGCUCAGCUCGGCUGCGAGCUCACGAUGGUUCGGCUUAAGAGCUGGCUAGUUUCAAGCCGUCCGAUUCCCACGUCGGCCGCGGCUUCGUUCAGAAUUCAGAAACCGGCUGCGACGGAGGAGGAGAGCGUCGAUGGGGAAAUCGAGGCGGCGGAGGAGUGGAGCGAGAGACCGAGAUAGUGUCCGUCCGGUCCCUCGGUUCCCUUCGCACCCUGAGGUUCUCGCCCCGCGCGCAGGCGCAGGCGGUGUCACGACCCCAAAAAUUCUAGCUCUGCCCGGAUAGUCCGGUUUCCUGCCCGGACAGUCUGCCAGUUCCCCUGUUUUGGCGUGCUGCGUGUCGAGCGAGGUCUUCGCCGCGCGCCGGGCAUCCUCGAUAAGCGCGUGCCGGGGGAAGCCGCAGCCAAUAGCCAAGCACCACCACGCCGCGCCGCUUAACUCUCUUACGUCGUCAAUUUGUCCACGACUCCAUCCCUUGAGCUGCGCUAUCUCUCGUUCUCUCUCGCUCAGCUCCACCUCCAACCGCAAGAACACCAUCCAUCGAUCCAAAAAUCCAUGAGCUCCACCCCAUGGUGUCCAAAUCCACCACACCCAGGGACUCUCCACCUCCCUAGCCCCCUCCACGGCCCCUCAAACUCGAGCUCCGACCACCAUCUCGCCGGGAAUCGCAGAUCUCGCAGCUGCCAGUUCAAGUUCCGCCCGGACUCGACCUCACCGUGGAACUUCAUCGUACGGGCACCGUUUUCACCACCCAACGGCUCAAAUCGACUUGACUGAAUCGUCGGAGAACGAACCCGUGGAGCCCACCGAGUCCGUUGAGCGCGAGCCUGGAGUCCAGUUCGUGGUUGAGCCUGAAGCUAAUCAAGACAAGCAGCUAAGCAUAAUUUCUUGCACCUAUCUAAUUUGACUAGCUUAGUUAUCUCACUUGGAUAAUGUUGGGUUAUAUAUAUAUUAUGUAUGUAUUGCAUUCUUGUACCUACUUUGAUGCACUAUUCUUCCUUGAAUUGUUCAACCAUAUCCUUGCCACAUGUUAGUCAGAUAAUCACUUAACUUGGCUAGAUGCUGAUCUAUGCUUAGAAUAAUCUUUUCGCUUACUAAAAAGGAUAGUUUGGAGUAUGACACUUACCGGUUACCCUUGAUUGCACUAGUUGGGUUUGGUUGUUAGUGAAGUGGUAGUACCGAGAUUCGAGCGGAAUGGUAGGACCUAGAGAAUGAAGUCACAUGGGCAUAGUCUGUUUGGAUCGAUUAAGGACCGAGUGGAUGCCAUCGGCCUUGAGCACCUUUCCGUGCUACCACAUAUC